ACACAAAUGUUAAGGUUCAAAGCAUAUAUAUAGAGAGAGAAUAUACAUAUACGAGAGAGAGAGAGAGAGAGAGAGAGAGAGAGAGAGAGAGAGAGAGAGAGAGAGAGAGAGAGAGAGAGAGAGAGAGAGAGAGAGAGAGAGAGAGAGAAAACAAUAUAAAAUAUCUUACAAAAUGGGUUCAUGCUUUGAGUUCCUUUCACCGAAGUUUGGCAAAAGGGCAAAGGGUUUCCUUUGGAGGACUAACAAGGCUGAAACUCAGUCUCGGCUGCUUAAGGCACCAAAAUCAUCAGUUACAGUUGAAGAACGAGACAAUCCAUGGGAUCUACCAGGACAUAAUUUUUGAAAGAAAAUUAUGUUCAUCAUGAUCAGUGUCUCUCUCCUGAUAAAAGAAUGUCAAAUAAAAAUAGAGAAAGACUCAGAAAUAUAUGAUAUUAAUGAGUUUUUAUCUUUUUUUAUUAAACACUCUCACUUAUGUAUUACAUCAUAAUUCACCACUAUGUUCAAUCUUUUUAGACGUGAUUUUUUUUUAUACUAAUCAAACACUUGGUUUUCUAUUCAAGGUUAUGUUUAGUUCUACGUAGCAGAAACUUUUCAGGUCAUUGAUAUUUCAGUGAAGUUGUUGUAGUCUUUUAUUUGGUGAAGUUAAUUGUAAUAAUUUCUUUAGUCAAUAAUUAGUAUAUUAAAGUGUUUUGGUAA